CACGUAGGGCGCGAGCGUUGUCCGGAAUUAUUGGGCGUAAAGAGCUCGUAGGCGGCUUGUUGCGUCUGCUGUGAAAGCCCGGGGCUUAACCCCGGGUCUGCAGUGGAUACGGGCAGGCUAGAGGCAGGUAGGGGAGAAUGGAAUUCCCGGUGUAGCGGUGAAAUGCGCAGAUAUCGGGAGGAACACCGGUGGCGAAGGCGGUUCUCUGGGCCUUACCUGACGCUGAGGAGCGAAAGCGUGGGGAGCGAACAGG
rnacentral:rRNA from 1 species